rnacentral:rRNA from 1 species
CCUACGGGUGGCAGCAGUGAGGAAUAUUGGUCAAUGGGCGCGAGCCUGACCCCGCCAAGUAGCGUGAAGGAUGACUGCCCUACGGGUUGUAAACUUCUUUUCUAAAGGAAUAAAGUGAGGCACGUGUGCCUUUUUGUAUGUACUUUAUGCAUAAGGAUCGGCUAACUCCUUGCCAGCAGCCGCGGUCAUACGUAGGAUCCGAGCGUUAUCCGGAUUUAUUGGGUUUAAAGGGAGCGUAGAUGGUUUGUUAAGUCAGUUGUGAAAGUUUGCGGCGCAACCGUAAAAUUGCAAUUGAUACUGGCAGUCUUGAGUACAGUUGAGGUAGGCGGAAUUCGUGGUGUAGCGGUGAAAUGCUUAGAUAUCACGAAGAACGCCGAUUGCGAAGGCAGCUUACUAAACUGCCACUGACAUUGAUGCUCGAAAGUGUGGGGAUCAAACAGGAUUAGAUACCCUUGUAGUC